rnacentral:lncRNA from 1 species
GAAUCUUCAAAACAAGCAAGUCCUACUAAUCACAUCAAAUCCUUAUUUUUCACAUGAAUUCCUUUAUUGUAAUGUCCACUCCUACUGGAAAUCAGACUUGCUUUUGCCCAGUUUCACCUCUUGUAGAAGAAGAAAGAAAGAGUCAAAUCUCAUCAUGCUUACAAGACCCCAGUUCCUGCAGAUGAUAGGAUGAGAAAUAUCCAGGAUCAGCCAUGACUCCAGGUCACAACUUAUUUUAUGAGGUGGCAGAAGACCAUGAUAUGCAUCUUACAUGGUGUCCAUCGCAACAGAAGCUUGUGGCACUCAGCAUUUCCAAUAUAACUUUAUUUUGCCUUUUGCAAUAAUAAUUUAGUUUUAUUGCUAAUUUGUCCUCUGUGCUUAUCAUGUUGUGAACUAGGGCUUUAUAAUGAAGUUUUAAAGGGGAAAACCAUCACUUCAGUCAAAAAAUCUGUGAGAAGAAACUCGUCUGUGUUUCUUGAGAGUAACAGAAUUGUGACCAAAUGAUGCCCCUGUUUUUAUAGAUCUGGAAAAGCUGUUCUAAAUUAGCACUUCUAAACUUGUUCAGUGUUUUACCUACAUGGGCCAGAUCCUCCACUCGUAUAAAUGAACGUGGUUCCAUUUGAAGUCAAUGAAUCUGGAUGGAGUGAUUAUCCAAAGUCAAUGGAGAUGAGUUGAUUUACUCCAGCUGAGGAUGUGGGUUUGCAUGGUUGAAUGAAUACCAUGUGCUUUGUUAUGACUGAUCAAUCUGGAUAAAACACCUGAUCAUUUCCUUAUACAAUAUGAAAAAACACAGUAAAGGUGAUUCAUUCUUUAAACUAUUGUGUAUCUAUGUCGACAUCUAUUACUAAGCGUGUCUUUUUACAUCUUUAUAAUAUAUAUGUAUAAUAUAUAUGCACAUGGAGGGCUCAAUCCAGGCCCCAACUCAGCAGGGCAAAGCAGCCAGAGGAAUACCCCCUUCUCAGAGGAAUGGUGCAAAGCUGAUACAGUUGAUCCAAUGUGCUGCUCUACUUCCCCCAUCAACCCCAGAACAACUUUCACUGUAGGGCAUGUGUCAGAGGUGGGAGGGGGUAUGGCCAGUGAGGCUAGUGUAACUUACAGCAUCCCUGUAGCCAACUCACAACCACCUUUCCCUGCCCAAACAUCCUCAGCUGUGCCAAGCGUAAAGUGGGCAUAGCUGAGCAUUGAGCCCAGACACUACAUAAAUGUUUGUGUUGAUAGAGAUAUAGUUCUAUAUGUAUAUAAGAGAUAUAGUUCUACAUAUGUAUAAUUGGGAAGCUGAAGAGCUCAGCUGUUAAGGAUUACACUCAGCAGGAAUAACUCUGAGGUUGGCACCUCCUUUAGUUCUUCCCCAGUGUCUUUGUUUUCUGAUCUUCGUCAUUAGGGACAGUGUAAUAAGCUAGUGUUGGCUAACUGAAUCAUUGCUAAGGCGGGUCAAAUAUUGGUAAAACAUUUUUGUGAACAAAUUAUUUCCUGAGAACCCCAUAUGGUGCACAGACAUUGUUGUGGCUCCUAAGCCACCUGCCCUCCAGGCCACUAGCACAGGGAUCUCACAUGUGCCAGUGAUUUUUGGCUGCCAGAAUAAUCCCUUAGCACCAUUGACAACUAGUGUAGGGGCCAGAACUAAAGCCCAGGUGGCCCCAGGUUUAGAGGAUUGCUAUGGUGGCUGAAAGCUGCCUUUCAAUACCCUCCCGCUUUUUCAAGAUGCACCAAGCACUCAUCAGCCACAGCUGAAGAUUGAUAGCUUGCUUUUUUUCUCCCCAAAUCCUCACCCAUGGUCUUUAUCUCCAGUGGCAAUACCACCAUCCUCCCUGCCACUUAGGCUUCUUUGCUAGGAGUCAUCUUUGACUCCUCUCCUGACUUACACAUCCAACCUGCAUUCAAAUUUUGCCAUUUCUUCCUGCCUAACAUUUCCAAGAUCCAACCUUUUCUUUUUGUCCACACUGCUAAAAUUUUGCAGGCCCUCUUCAUCUCCCAGUCAGUGCAACUUUUCCAUUGUGUCCUUCCUGACACAUCACUCCCUUCCAUAGCAUUGUAAAUGCUCUUCUCUCUCUUUUUGGAUGACCUUCCU